rnacentral:rRNA from 1 species
GACGAACCGUGCAAACGUUAUUCGGAAUCACUGGGCAUAAAGGGCGCGUAGGCGGCUUUCUAAGUCAGGGGUGAAAUCCGGCAGCUCAACUGUCGCAGUGCCUUUGAUACUGGAGAGCUCGAGGGAGGUAGGGGUCUGUGGAACUUCCGGUGGAGCGGUGAAAUGCGUUGAUAUCGGAAGGAACGCCGGUGGCGAAAGCGACGGACUGGAUCUCUUCUGACGCUGAGGCGCGAAAGCUAGGGGAGCAAACAGG